UCGUAAGGAAGACCCCAUGCCUGGGGCCGGGAGAAGAAGGAUCAAUCGUUUGGCCAACGAGAGAUCCCCUAUUUCGGUGUUGUAAGUGGGAGAAGUAGUUUGGGUGAGUACUGGUACAGAAGGAACAAUAACACUCAGGAAUUAGAGAAACAAAGGACUGCAGAUGCUGGAAUCUAGAUGAAAAACACGAUGAUGUUGGAGGAACUCAGCAGGCCAGGCAGCAUCUGUGGAGAAAAGCAGGCGGUCAACAUCUCAGGUCAGGACCCAUUCUUCAGGACUUGUUGACGUGGGAUCAACAUAACUUAUGUGGAUAUUUGCAUUGAUAACGAAGUUUCCUCGCAUAUUUCAAAGAUGUACGGGUUAGGAAGUUGUGGGCAUGCUAUGUUGGCUCCAGAAGCAUGACGACACUUGCGGGCUGACCCCAGGACACUCUACACAAAAGAUGCAUUUCACUGUGUGUUUCGAUGUACAUGUGACUAAUAAAGAUAUCUUAUCUAAUCUUAAA